rnacentral:rRNA from 1 species
GAUGAACGCUAGCGGCAGGCCUAACACAUGCAAGUCGAGGGGUAGCAGGAUUAAGCUUGCUUAAUUGCUGACGACCGGCGCACGGGUGCGUAACGCGUAUGCAACCUACCUUAUACUGGGGUAUAGCCCGGAGAAAUUCGGAUUAAUCCCCCAUAGUACUAAUGAAUCGCAUGGUUUAUUAGUUAAAGCAUUGCGGUAUAAGAUGGGCAUGCGUCCUAUUAGCUAGAUGGUGGGGUAACGGCUCACCAUGGCUACGAUAGGUAGGGGGCCUGAGAGGGUGGUCCCCCACACUGGUACUGAGACACGGACCAGUCUCCUACGGGAGGCAGCAGUGAGGAAUAUUGGUCAAUGGGCGCAAGCCUGAACCAGCCAUGCCGCGUGCAGGAAGAAUGCCCUAUGGGUUGUAAACUGCUUUUAUUUGGGAAUAAACCUCUUUACGUGUAGAGAGCUGAAGGUACCAAAUGAAUAAGCACCGGCUAACUCCGUGCCAGCCGCCGCAGUAA